CCUUUGUACACACCGCCCGUCGCUACUACCGAUUGAAUGGCUUAGUGAGACCCUCGGAUUGACGUUCAUAGACUGAAAGGUCCUUGUCCGUUGAGAAGUUAGUCAAACUUGGUCAUUUAGAGGAAGUAAAGUCGUAACAAGG
rnacentral:rRNA from 1 species